rnacentral:rRNA from 1 species
CAGUCGCCGCGGGAAUACGAAGGGGGCUAGCGUUGCUCGGAAUCACUGGGCGUAAAGGGCGCGUAGGCGGGUCUUUAAGUCAGGGGUGAAAUCCUGGAGCUCAACUCCAGAACUGCCUUUGAUACUGAAGAUCUUGAGUUCGGGAGAGGUGAGUGGAACUGCGAGUGUAGAGGUGAAAUUCGUAGAUAUUCGCAAGAACACCAGUGGCGAAGGCGGCUCACUGGCCCGAUACUGACGCUGAGGCACGAAAGCGUGGGGAGCAAACAGGAUUAGAUACCCCAGUAGUCCCUGUCUCUUAUAA